rnacentral:tRNA from 1 species
GGGGUUGUGGCUCAGUGGCAGAGCACUUGCCUAGCAUGUGUGAGGCACUGGGUUCAAUUCUCAGCACCUCA